GUUCGCAUCCUUUCGCAUCGAAGGAGCUCUCGGUGAUGCUCCAACGGGGUGAAUUUAUCUUUAGAAUUCCUCGGUUAUAAUCGAUUAAAUAAUCCUGACUGAUUUAAUAAUCCUGAGAAAUCAUCGCGAUGGUCCGAUUUCAUUUUUCGCCUCGCAAAAGUGUUCCGCGAAAGCAUGAAUCAAGUUAAAACUUUGUGAAGUCGUGCAAACUUUGUCUCCGCAAAAAUAUUUAAUUUAAAAAUAUCUAAAUAAAAAUAUCUUUGAUUUUUCGCUCAAUUAUGCUGGCAAUCGAUGAAUGUACAGUAUCUAGCUAUUGUAGACGAGGAUUAUACGAAAAAAAGGUGGAUUUGACAUUUAUGAUUUUGGGCUAUUCAAAGCUUGGAAUGAGCAUUUCCUGGAAUUCGCUACUAACUUAUAUAGUGAUAGUAGAAACGGACUUGGAAUUAUAUCAAAGUUGCGGAGUUUAAGUGCAUAGUAUGAGAAUAUUAUAUCUGACGUGCAGGUAGCGCACAAGAGAUGAAUGAAUACUUCUCCGAGAUCACGUUCUAUCCUGUGCACAGAUAUGAGAAGUUGAUUACAAUCGCGCAUUGAAAAACGGAAGAAUCCAUAAUUCUUGCUUCAAAGAAAUUCUGCGUUGACCCACAUUGCCAAGUACGGUCAUGGUCGUAGAAAGAAGAGAAAAAGGAGAGCCAUAAACUUUAAAAGCGUACUGAUCGUUGAAAACGCUAGGCAUCAAAGAGCUUUACGAAUAACUUAUAUUUGUAUGAUUCAUUCGACUACGUGUAAUUCAACGUUCAACUAAAUCCUCCGUUGCACGUCGACGUCUGUGAAGUGACAUUUGUGUCAUUUAUUUCUACGAAUGCGUGAACAUAACUCAAGUAAACGAGUGAUUUAUCUAUAUGUACGUGAUUUAUCUGCUCAAAUUCCAUCGAUCGAUGAAUACCUAUUAUACGCGACAGAAUGUCAAUAUUAGAAACAAAUCGCGACUAAUUAAAUCAUUUACGCGGCAUAUAAUUUCACGUGAUUUGCGGCAUUCUCGAUAUAUCGCGUUAAAGAUACAGUAAAAAUUUCAAACAUGAAUGUCGCUAUCUCGAUCAUCGUCCCUUGGCUAAUGUCGAUGAGCGACGCGCUCGACAAUGGGGUCGAUUACUACUCGGACAACGACGAAGAUCUCGAGUACGUCAAUGCAACAAAUUGCACGAACGACUACUGUAUCCCGGAUGAGGAUUAUAUCGGGUUGAUGGUGCAACAUAUAUUUCCCAAAUUCACCGAUUGGGUGCUGAUCGCUAUGCACAGUGUCGUUUUUCUGAUUGGUCUGAUUGGCAACGCGCUCGUCUGUAUGGCCGUCUAUCGAAAUCACUCGAUGCGAACGGUAACUAAUUAUUUUAUUGUCAACUUGGCGGUGGCCGAUCUCCUCGUCCUGCUCAUCUGUCUACCGCCAUCGGUUUUAUGGGAUGUCACGGAAACUUGGUUUCUCGGAUUAAAACUCUGCAAGGCCGUGCCUUAUCUCCAGACAGUAUCCGUGACUGUCAGCAUUCUGACGUUGACUUUCAUAUCGAUCGACCGAUGGUAUGCCAUAUGCUUCCCAUUGAGAUUCAAAUCUACGACAGGCCGAGCGAAAACUGCUAUCAUAAUAAUUUGGCUGAUAGCGCUGCUUUUUGAUAUUCCAGAAUUACUGGUGUUGCACAUUGUACCGUCAAACAGCCGGGUGCAGACUAUAUUAUUCACGCAGUGUGUUUGGUCGUGGAGUCAAGAAAGUCAAACUACCUUUACGAUUGUCAAACUGAUAUUUCUGUACACCGUGCCAUUACUUUUUAUGAGCAUAGCAUAUUGGCAGAUUGUACGUGUACUUUGGAAAAGCGAUAUUCCAGGACAUAAUUUAUCUACUAGAAUCUGUCAUUCCACUGAAAUUCCACUAUCGAGGAGUGGAAAUCCAGAGGGACAAUUGAGAUCUCGACGGAAGGCGGCAAAGAUGUUAGUUGCCGUAGUUAUUACAUUUUCAAUAUGUUUCUUCCCAGUGCAUUUGCUCUCCAUUUUAAGAUGUACUAUGGCAUUACCGUCAAAUCAAUGGACGAUCGCGCUUAGUCUAAUCGCUCAUUGGCUAUGCUAUUUUAACAGUGCGGUAAAUCCUGUCAUUUACAACUUUAUGAGCGGUAAGUUCCGGCAAGAGUUCCGUUGUAGUUUUCGAAAGUGCGGCUCGUCGAGCAAACGGAUGAUUACGUUGCCGGCCGCCCAUCGGCAUCUGCUGUCGUGCAACGAUGAAUACACGAGGAGAUGCCAUACGAGCUUGCGAGACCGACCAUUUUGACACACGGCAAAACAAAUAACGAAAUCGACGAAAAUACAUCUUGACGCACCUGUACAAACGAGUGUCGAGGCCGAGACCGCAUUCGACAUCGGAAUGAGAACGGACUAGCAUAUCGAUACUCUUUAAAUCGAUCGUGUGCUUUAGGGAAAAUUUCGCAAGGAGUUCAAACGUAACUUUCGAUGUUCCCACAACAAUAGAACCUUCGUCCAUAAACGUAGAUACGUCAGGG